UAUCUAAAUAUGGGUGGGCAAGUUCUGGUGUCAGCCGCCGCGGUAAAACCAGCACCUCAAGUAGUCAGGAUGAUUAUUGGGCCUAAAGCAUCCGUAGCCGGCUCUGUAAGUUUUUGGUUAAAUCUGUACGCUUAACGUACAGGCUGCCGGGAAUACUGCAGAGCUAGGGAGUGGGAGAGGUAGACGGUACUCGGUAGGAAGGGGUAAAAUCCUUUGAUCUAUUGAUGACCACCUGUGGCGAAGGCGGUCUACCAGAACACGUCCGACGGUGAGGGAUGAAAGCUGGGGGAGCAAACCGGAUUAGAUACCCGGGUAGUCCCAGCUGUAAACUAUGCAAACUUAGUGAUGCAUUGACUUGUGGUCAAUGCAGUGCUGCAGGGAAGCCGUUAA
rnacentral:rRNA from 1 species